rnacentral:lncRNA from 1 species
CGAACUGUCAAUGCCCAAUUGACAAUCCUAUGAUCAGGAACAUUUAGGAUGUGUCUACGAAAGAAUGGUCUCAUGAAUCUAAAUUCAUUAGAUUGCAUUCUCCCAAUCACAUAUUCCUUGGACUUUAUCGUUUAAGCAUAUAACAUUUAUAUGAGACGGCUCAAACAAUAAUAUUUGCCCUUUAUAUUUAAACUAGAUUAGUUUAACAUGUGAAAUGUCCGUAAAGUAUCAUCAUAUGAUUGGCUUUAGGGCACAUUUCCAACACAAUCAAGUGUCGACCCCUAAUUAACAAACACAAAUAAGUUAUUAAUCAAAUAGUUAAACCAAUUACAUUCACGAUUCAAGAAUUCAUAACUGGAAUUUAUCAAAUCAAAUUGCACACAUAGUCAUGGCUUUGAAAUCACCCCUAACCAAUAGGGGUUUAGCCACUCAUGUUCAUAGCAAAACGAAAAGAAAAGAAAUUACACAUUGAAAUCAUAAAACGAAUUACACCUAGAAUGCACUAACAAUGAAGCUUGGACAUCCAAGGGCCCUUCCUUCUUCCUUCUUGCUGCGGCACACAAGUGGGUGAGUCUAUGGAUUGUGUUUAGAGUAAGAAGUUAUGGAGAUUGGUGAAGUAUGGGCACGGCAAAGGGAGGUUGGAUGGUUUCUGCGUGAAUGGGAGUGAAUGAAUUGUUGUGGAUGGAUAUAGAUUGGUUAUGGUGAAGGGUGGAGUGAUUAGAAUGGUCAAAAAGGGGUCUUAUUUAUAGGGAAAGGAAGGGCUACGAAUUUAUUAAAUUUGGAAUCAGAAAUCAAUGGAAAAUAGGCAAGAAAGGUGCAGAAAUUAAAGAGAAUAGGAAAGGAAAUUCGGAAGAGAGUGUAGGACAGAUUUAGGAAUGUGUUUUGAGGCACAAAAUAGGUAAGAAUCCUCUCCCCUUGUGCAGCAAGAAUUGAAACAAAAGGGAAUGUAAUUUUGGAUCAGAAAUAGGUAAGAAAGAAUAAGAAAUUAAAGAGAAACAGGUAACAAAGAUGUGGCACAAUAUAGGAAAGGUACUUAAGGUCAGAAAUUAAAAGGGAAAGAGGAUGUAUGGUGCGGCAAGGGACAAGGGAGAAAGGGAAAGGUGUUUCUGGUUCAGAAAUUAGGAAAACAUGGCAAGGGAAAUUGUUGCACAAUAGGAGACAAGGAGGAAACACAAAGGGGACAAGGCGCCACCUUUGUAGGAGGUGCUGAAAUUGUGUCUUCUAAGCUUCCACACUGACUUCUAACAUCCUUUAGGCCUUCAAUUUCAUCAAUCAAUAUUACUCCAAGCAUAAACUAUUCAAUUCAUGCCCAAAACUGCUCCAAAAGGCUCCAAAAUGCAUCUUUUUGCAUACUUUGUCCUUAGAACCUGAAAUUUCACGAAAAUAGCUUAAAAUACUAAAAUUUCUAAGUACUAGCAACGUAAAUGCAAGGAAACAAGCUAAUUAAGUCGCAUAAAUAUGCUCCUAUCAAAUUCCCCCACACUUAGCUUUUGCUAGUCCUCUGAUAGGAGCAUAUUUAUGCGACUUAAUUGGCUUGUUCUCGUGCAUUUACGUUGUGUUUCCUUAGUUAUUUCAGUGUUUAAAGUCACUUUUGUGUGUUUUCAAAUUCUAAGGCCAAGGGAUGCAAGAAGAUGCAUUUUGGAGCUUUUUGGAUCAAAAUUGGGCUUGGAAUGAUUAUCACAUGAUUGGAGCAAAAAGAAUGGACGUAAUUGAAGAUCUGAAGAAGUUAGGAUUCCUAAUCAACGAAGGAUUCCUACUCCAACAAGGAUUCCUACUUGAAGUAGGAAAGUUAAGCCAAGGUUUCCUACUUUAGUUUGACCUUUCCUAAGUGUCCCUAAGUGUUAUCAACUUUGAAGGUCUUCUAAGUAUUCUAGCACAUCAAGCACACAUUUCUUGCAUGGUUUACAUGCCUUUUCCACAAUUCCAUCUUCCUUGCCGUGCAAGGGAACCCUUUCCCUUCAGUUUUAGUACAUUUAAACCUUUCCCUAAACCUUUCCUACAUCACAGCCGCAUCCCUUGACCUUUCCUCUUCCUUGCCGUGCAAGGGAGAGUGAUUCUUUCCUAUUUUCUGAAUUAAAACACUUUCUUUUUGUGUUUCAUACCCUAGCCGCACCUCUUAGUCAAUUUCCCUUAAGUUUCUGAUUUUGUUUCCUAUUUCUAGAAGCCUUAGACUUAAUUUCUGAUUACCUAAAUAACCUAGGGUUUUAAUUCCUGAAAUCCUUUAAAUAAACUCUCUUUUGCAGCCAUAAAACAUCCAUAUACUGACCAUUCACGCCAGAAACACCAUUCCACUCUUAGCCGCACCAUUCUACCACCAUUCACCCUAUUUUCUGCCCAGAAACUACCCUAGCCGACCCCUACAUCCAUCCUAACCUUAAUUCCAUCCUUCUACAUCAUCCAUAACUCCCUAAACUCACCCCCAACCCUUGUACCGCAGCAAAGGAAAGGAAGAAGAAGUGCUUGGAGGUUCUAGCUGUUCAACAUUGAAUUGUUGGAAUAUUUAGGCGUUCUCUUUCUUAUAUUUACAAUGUAUAAAUC